GGGUAGAAAAGGUUUUUUGAGUUAUAAUGGAAAUUGAAAAUUUAGAAGAUAUAUACAAAUACUGGUUUUCCUUACUGUAUAAAGGAAGAUCAACCCUUAUCUCCAACGAAGCAGGGCUAAUGGACUGACAGUAACCAAUGUUGGCAUUUCAAUCAUCUUUGAUGAGUACGUUAAUAAGAAGGUUAGAUAAACACCCAUGCUUUAGAGUAAAUGGCUCACUCAUGAUUUUCAGUCUUUUCGGUCUAUUAACCUUUCAGCUGACACUAGUUUGCUUUUGUGACCAG
rnacentral:lncRNA from 1 species